UGGCCAAACUACCCUUCGGAACACAAUACCCUCGGGAAACUGAGGCUAAUAGUGUAUACCACACUCACUCUGGAAUGACAAGUGUGCCAAACGCUCCGGCGCCGAAGGAUGUGGCUGCGGCCGAUUAGGUAGACGGUGGGGUAACGGCCCACCGUGCCGAUAAUCGGUACGGGUGGUGAGAGCCAGAACCCGGAGACGGAAUCUGAGACAAGAUUCCGGGCCCUACGGGGCGCAGCAGGCGCGAAACCUUUACACUGCACGACAGUGCGAUAAGGGGAUCCCAAGUGCGCAGGCAUAGAGCCUGCGCUUUUGUACACCCUAGGGAGGUGCACGAAUAAGGGCUGGGCAAGACCGGUGCCAGCCGCCGCGGUAAUACCGGCAGCCCAAGUGAUGGCCGAUCUUAUUGGGCCUAAAGCGUCCGUAGCUGGCCGCGCAAGUCCAUCGGGAAAUCCACCUGCUCAACAGGUGGACGUCCGGUGGAAACUGCACGGCUUGGGACCGGAAGGCGCGACGGGUACGUCCGGGGUAGGAGUGAAAUCCCGUAAUCCUGGACGGACCGCCGAUGGCGAAAGCACGUCGCGAAAACGGAUCCGACAGUGAGGGACGAAAGCUAGGGUCUCGAACCGGAUUAGAUACCCGGGUAGUCCUAGCCGUAAACAAUGCCUGCUAGGUGUGGCUCCCACUACGAGUGGGUGCUGUGCCGUAGGGAAGCCGCUAAGCAGGCCGCCUGGGAAGUACGUCCGCAAGGAUGAAACUUAAAGGAAUUGGCGGGGGAGCACUACAACCGGAGGAGCCUGCGGUUUAAUUGGACUCAACGCCGGACAUCUCACCAGCAUCGACUGUGGUAAUGACGGUCAGGUUGAUGACCUCGCCACGAGCCACAGAGAGGAGGUGCAUGGCCGCCGUCAGCUCGUACCGUGAGGCGUCCUGUUAAGUCAGGCAACGAGCGAGACCCGCAUCCGUACUUGCCAGCAGCACUGCGAAGUGGCUGGGGACAGUACGGAGACUGCCGUGGCCAACACGGAGGAAGGAACGGGCAACGGUAGGUCAGUAUGCCCCGAAUGUGCUGGGCAACACGCGGGCUACAAUGGUCAGGACAAAGGGUUCCUACUCCGAAAGGAGACGGUAAUCUCAGAAACUCGAUCGUAGUUCGGAUUGUGGGCUGCAACUCGCCCACAUGAAGCUGGAUUCGGUAGUAAUCGCGUGUCACAAGCGCGCGGUGAAUACGUCCCUGCUCCUUGCACACACCGCCCGUCAAAGCA
rnacentral:rRNA from 1 species